GGAGGUGUCUGAGCACCUGGUGGGCUCCACCGCCUUCAAAGCGGUUGGGACGAGGUCACUCGUCCGGCGGGUUCGAUUCCCGUCCACCUCCGCCA
rnacentral:tRNA from 1 species